rnacentral:rRNA from 1 species
CAGCAGCCACGGGAAUACCAGCACCUCGAGUGGUCAGGAGGUUUAUUGGGCCUAAAGCAUCCGUAGCCGGUUGCAUAAGUUUUCGGUUAAAUCUAUGCGCUUAACGUAUAGGCCGCCGAAAAUACUGUGCAGCUAGGGAGUGGGAGAGGUACACGGUACUCGAUAGGAAGAGGUAAAAUCCUUUGAUCUAUUGAUGACCACCUGUGGCGAAGGCGGUGUACCAGAACACGUUCGACGGUGAGGGAUGAAAGCUUGGGGAGCAAACCGGAUUAGAUACCCCAGUAGUCCCUGUCUCUUAUAA